rnacentral:rRNA from 1 species
CCUACGGGAGGCAGCAGUGAGGAAUAUUGGACAAUGGGCGCAAGCCUGAUCCAGCCAUGCCGCGUGCAGGAAGAAGCAUCUAUGGUGUGUAAACUGCUUUUGUACAGGAAGAAACACUCCCUCGUGAGGGAGCUUGACGGUACUGUAAGAAUAAGGACCGGCUAACUCCGUGCCAGCAGCCGCGGUAAUACGGAGGGUCCGAGCGUUAUCCGGAAUCAUUGGGUUUAGAGGGUCCGUAGGCGGUUUAAUAAGUCAGUGGUGAAAUCUGGUCGCUCAACGAUCAAACGGCCAUUGAUACUGUUAGACUUGAAUUAUAAGGAAGUAACUAGAAUAUGUAGUGUAGCGGUGAAAUGCUUAGAUAUUACAUGGAAUACCAAUUGCGAAGGCAGGUUACUACUUAUGGAUUGACGCUGAUGGACGAAAGCGUGGGGAGCGAACAGGAUUAGAUACCCUGGUAGUCCACGCCGUAAACGAUGGAUACUAGCUGUUCGGAGCAAUCUGAGUGGCUAAGCGAAAGUGAUAAGUAUCCCACCUGGGGAGUACGUUCGCAAGAAUGAAACUCAAAUGAAUUGACGG